GGCUGUCAGAUGGCUCAGUGGGUAAGAGCACCUGACUGCUCUUCUGAAGGUCCAGAGUUCAAAUCCCAGCAACCA
rnacentral:tRNA from 1 species